rnacentral:tRNA from 1 species
GGAGGCAUGGCUCAAGUGAUAGAGUACCUUGCUAGCAAGAAAGCCUAUCAAGCGCAAGGUCCUGGGUUCAAAUCCUAGUUCCACCA